rnacentral:rRNA from 1 species
AUUGAACGCUGGCGGCAUGCCUUACACAUGCAAGUCGGACGGUAACAGGUCUUCGGAUGCUGACGAGUGGCGAACGGGUGAGUAAUACAUCGGAACGUGCCCGAUCGUGGGGGAUAACGAAGCGAAAGCUUUGCUAAUACCGCAUACGAUCUACGGAUGAAAGCAGGGGACCGCAAGGCCUUGCGCGAACGGAGCGGCCGAUGGCAGAUUAGGUAGUUGGUGGGAUAAAAGCUUACCAAGCCGACGAUCUGUAGCUGGUCUGAGAGGACGACCAGCCACACUGGGACUGAGACACGGCCCAGACUCCUACGGGAGGCAGCAGUGGGGAAUUUUGGACAAUGGGCGAAAGCCUGAUCCAGCCAUGCCGCGUGCAGGAUGAAGGCCUUCGGGUUGUAAACUGCUUUUGUACGGAACGAAAAGACUCUGGUUAAUACCUGGGGUCCAUGACGGUACCGUAAGAAUAAGCACCGGCUAACUACGUGCCAGCCGCCGCCGUAAAAC